rnacentral:rRNA from 1 species
GACGAACGCUGGCGGCGUGCCUAAUACAUGCAAGUUGAGCGCUGAAGGUUGGUACUUGUACCAACUGGAUGAGCAGCGAACGGGUGAGUAACGCGUGGGGAAUCUGCCUUUGAGCGGGGGACAACAUUUGGAAACGAAUGCUAAUACCGCAUAAAAACUUUAAACACAAGUUUUAAGUUUGAAAGAUGCAGUUGCAUCACUCAAAGAUGAUCCCGCGUUGUAUUAGCUAGUUGGUGAGGUAAAGGCUCACCAAGGCGAUGAUACAUAGCCGACCUGAGAGGGUGAUCGGCCACAUUGGGACUGAGACACGGCCCAAACUCCUACGGGAGGCAGCAGUAGGGAAUCUUCGGCAAUGGACGAAAGUCUGACCGAGCAACGCCGCGUGAGUGAAGAAGGUUUUCGGAUCGUAAAACUCUGUUGGUAGAGAAGAACGUUGGUAAGAGUGGAAAGCUCAUCAAGUGACGGUAACUACCCAGAAAGGGACGGCUAACUACGUG